ensembl:lncRNA
CCCCACUGCGAUCGGAGUCAGGGCCUGCAGCUCUCCUGCAGCUCUCUGUGACGGUGCUUCAACUUGCAGGUUGGAGCAAGGACUGCGCGCAUGCCUCGUCACCCUACAGCCUUUGGAGACUAGUGGGUCUCAGUCUCCGCCACAUUAAUAAUCUGCUCCUGUGCAUCCCUUACAAACCUACCCACCCGUUCCUGUUCCUCACCUUCACAGUGCCUGGUGCAACACCAAAGUCUCCUGCAGCUUGUGGCUUUGCUCCAGCUCUCCCCAAACGCUCCGGUGAAAAAAGGGCCCGUGUUUACUCCGCGCAUACUGCACACAUGCCAGACUUGUUUCCUGCCUGCGUGUGCCUGCUUUGCAGUUGGAGGAGGGACUGCAGCUUUAACCUCACUGGUCGGUCCCUGCCAUAAAGAAGACAAGAUUUAAAAGCACUCCUGAAGCAAACAAGCUGAUGUGGGUUUUGGGAUCCCAGCUCAGUACAGCUGGCUGGUUCGUCUCAGUGGGAGCACAAGCACAGAAAACAGCCAGGGUCGCUCCACAAGUUCUGCCCAUCCCCUGCCACCAUCACUCAAAAUUUCACCUACCACUUUACGAGCUUUGCAAGACUCCAGGAAAGAGAUGGAGAGCACCCUGUAACAGUGCAGAGCUCUCACUACACCCAAAUGGCUUAAAGUCUGAAGGUAUUGCCUAAGGAAGGAACGAUAGGAGACAAUAACAAGGAAAACAAGCCCAAGCUGAUGGACAGAGAGGUUUAUAAAAUGUGAUUUACUUUGGUUCCUUUCUAUCACUACCUAAAUUCUGUCUCUCAUUUGAAAUUAUGGGCCUAAAUUCAGCAAACUCCUUAAAGCAUGUCCUUUUUAUGGUUUCACAGGUGCUUAUGUACAUGAGAACUUCAAAAUACCUGCUAAGAUCCCGAUCCUGCAAGUAUCUUGACACAUGUGGAGUUCUCAGCCGGUGUACAAUCCCCCGGACGUGGAUGUCACUCUGGGCAGGAAAAGGGACCCAACCCUGCUCUCAAGGGAUGCUCUCAUACGUUGACAAGUACUAAAGAAUUUAGAGUAGUCAUUCCAUUCCUGCAAGUAUUCAUGUAAAGAAGAGAUAGGUGGGACACUUCCCAUCAAAAUACUUUUUCACAAGAAAAUAUAAUUUCUGGAAGGAGGAGGAAUUGAUGUAUUUUUGCAAUUUUUCAUUGGAAAAAAUUCUCCUGAGAGCUAUAGCCUCAUGCUGCCUUGAUAAACACACACAUACGUUCUGGCAAAUGGUACAAUACUGACAUAUCAUCUCAUUGCAUUGUAAAUAAGUAGCAGUAGCAGUUCAUUACUCUAUUGGUAGGAAAAAAGAGAUGAUUCUUUGUUGCUACUUCAUGCUAGUGAAAAUUUUCCUCCUUUAGCGUACUUACAUUGAGUUUAUCUGUUUUUCUUAAUGCUUUAAAAGAAGGUGGAGGAAAGGAACUCUAACCUGGUGCUAGUCAGUAAUGCAAGAAUUUUGCCCUACUGGCCAAUUCAGAUCAGACCCAAAUUGCCUUCCAGGUCUUUAUAUGAGAGAAGCAGCAUUCAGUCACUGUGCCAAACUACACAUCUGGCUAGCAGGUUAAUGCAUUUGUGGGAAAAGGCACAUUCCACUCCAAUUUAUAAUAUACAACAAAUGCUUUUUUAAAAAGGUAUUUACUAUUCCAAAAAUAAACUAUUGGAGGAAAGAAAAAAAAAAAGACA